rnacentral:misc_RNA from 1 species
AUCACCAUUCACCAAAAUGCUUUAGUAGACUUGGUUUUAUGUUCCUAUUUCCUACCUAUAAUUUAUAUCAUAAAACUCUAUCCGGUUGUGGUUGAUAUGUGUUAUGACAUCAAGAUAGAUUUACUAUGCAUAUGAUUACCAUCAUGCAUGAAUCCUAAAUUUAGUUAUAAAAACACUAAAACUAUUAUUACACAAGCUGUCGUGGGGAGUAUAGAAAUGAAAUAAAGACCACAUCCUGAGGCCUAUGAAUCAAAGCUAGGACAACUGAUUUGUGAAGAAUUUUGUUCACAUGCAUGACUUGGCUAGUUGGCAAGCAGUUGAGUAUUCAUCUAGAAAUUUACUUGAUGAACUCUAGGUGAUGGGAUACUCAAAUUUUGCUUGAAUACGACCAUGGACUAAACUAACUCUUGGAAUGAUAAAAAAGAAAAUGUAGGUAGAACCUUUAGAAUAAAUCAAGGCUUGGGGAGGAGAACUCACCAAUUUUCGAGAUACUUUCGUCCUUCUAAUACAAAAGCUUGCCUUAUCUAUAGAGUGUGUUUAUUUGUUCUAGUCCUUUCUUUUUGGUUUUAUA